rnacentral:rRNA from 1 species
AUGAACGCUAGCGAUAGGCUUAACACAUGCAAGUCGAGGGGCAGCAUGGUCUUAGCUUGCUAAGACUGAUGGCGACCGGCGCACGGGUGCGUAACGCGUAUGCAACUUGCCUCACAGAGGGGGAUAACCCGUCGAAAGACGGACUAAUACCGCGUACACUCCAUCUUGGGCAUCCAAGGUAGAGGAAAUGAAAUUCGCUGUGAGAUAGGCAUGCGUCCCAUUAGCUAGUUGGUGAGGUAACGGCUCACCAAGGCGACGAUGGGUAGGGGAACUGAGAGGUUGAACCCCCACACUGGUACUGAGACACGGACCAGACUCCUACGGGAGGCAGCAGUGAGGAAUAUUGGUCAAUGGGCGAGAGCCUGAACCAGCCAAGUCGCGUGAAGGAUGACUGUCUUAUGGAUUGUAAACUUCUUUUAGACGGGAAUAACAAGAGUCACGUGUGACUCCCUGCAUGUACCGUAUGAAUAAGCAUCGGCUAACUCCGUG